rnacentral:rRNA from 1 species
CCUACGGGAGGCAGCAGUGGGGAAUUUUGGACAAUGGGCGCAAGCCUGAUCCAGCAAUGCCGCGUGCAGGAUGAAGGCCUUCGGGUUGUAAACUGCUUUUGUACGGAACGAAAAGGCUCUGGCUAAUACCUGGGGCUGAUGACGGUACCGUAAGAAUAAGCACCGGCUAACUACGUGCCAGCAGCCGCGGUAAUACGUAGGGUGCGAGCGUUAAUCGGAAUUACGGGGCGUAAAGCGUGCGCAGGCGGUUUUGUAAGACGGGUGUAAAAUCCCCGGGCUUAACCGGGAAACUGCCCUUGUGACUGCAAGGCUGGAGUACGGCAGAGGGGGAUGGAAUGCCGCGUGUAGCAGUAAAAUGCGUAGAUAUGGGGAGGAACACCGAUGGCGAGGGCGGUCCCCGGGGCCUGUACUGACGCUCAUGCACGAAAGCGGGGGGAGCAAACGGGAUUAGAUCCCCGGGUAGU